rnacentral:misc_RNA from 1 species
ACAACAAGCUGCUGAAGACCUACAUCAAGAACUGGCCGGAAGAAGAAUCCGCCAAAUAACAAGCGCUAGAGCGCGAGCGGCUUCACGGUACCGCCCAAGGCCUGCGGGUGGUCGCGCCAGGUUGCGGGGUCGGUGUCCACGUACAGCUCCACCGUGAUGCCGUCAGGAUCGCUUACGUAGAGCGACAGCGUCGUCACGUGCUCGGUGGUGCCCACCACCGGCACGCCGGCUUCGUCGAUGCGCGCCUUGGCUUCGCGCAACGUCUCGACAUCGUCGCCGACCUUGAACGCCACGUGCAUUACGCCGGC